GGAGUUCGACGGCAGUGAUUAGAGUUUGAUCAUGGCUCAGGAUGAACGCUGGCGGCGUGCUUAACACAUGCAAGUCGAACGAAGCCAAAAGGAAGCUUGCUUUCUUUGAAGCUUAGUGGCGGACGGGUGAGUAACGCGUGAGUAACCUGCCCUUCAGUGGGGAAUAACACAGAGAAAUCUGUGCUAAUACCGCAUAACGUCUUCUUGCCGCAUGACAGGAAGACCAAAGGAUUUAUUCGCUGAAGGAUGGACUCGCGUCCGAUUAGCUAGUUGGUGAGGUAACGGCCCACCAAGGCGACGAUCGGUAGCCGAACUGAGAGGUUGAUCGGCCACAUUGGGACUGAGACACGGCCCAGACUCCUACGGGAGGCAGCAGUGGGGAAUAUUGGGCAAUGGGCGAAAGCCUGACCCAGCAACGCCGCGUGAAGGAAGACGGUCUUCGGAUUGUAAACUUCUUUGAUUGGGGAAGAAACAAAUGACCUACCCAAAGAACAAGUCACGGCUAACUACGUGCCAGCAGCCGCGGUAAUACGUAGGUGACAAGCGUUAUCCGGAUUUACUGGGCGUAAAGGGCGUGUAGGCGGUCUUACAAGUCAGAUGUGAAAUUCCCGGGCUCAACUUGGGCGCUGCAUCUGAAACUGCAAGACUUGAGUGCUGGAGGGGAUAGCGGAAUUCCUAGUGGAGCGGUAAAAUGCGCAGAGAUUAGGAAGAACACCGGUGGCGAAGGCGGCUAUCUGGGACAGUAACUGACGCUGAGGCGCGAAAGCGUGGGGAGCAAACAGGAUUAGAUACCCUGGUAGUCCACGCCGUAACGAUGAAUACUAGUGUAGGGGUAUCGACUCCCUCUGUGCCGCAGUUAACACAAUAAGUAUUCCGCCUGGGGAGUACAGCCGCAAGUUGAACUCAAGGAAUUGACCGGGGCCCGCACAAGCAGUGGAUUAUUGUGGUGUAUUUCGAAGCAACGCGAGAACCUUACACGGCUUGGCAUCCUCUGACAACUCUAGAGAUAGAGCCUCCCUUCUGGCGAGAGACAGUGGUGCAUGGUGUUCGUCAGCUCCGUCUGGAUGAUUUGGUUAGUCAUACAGGCAACCCCACGUCGGUGGCGUAUUGUGGGUUCCGCGACUGACCCGCACACCGAGAAUGGGAAGCCUAUCAUCAUUGCUAGUCUGUCACGUACAUGACUCAAGACUAGCUAGCGAAAUGCACGUUCCAUUCAUUCG
rnacentral:rRNA from 1 species